rnacentral:rRNA from 1 species
ACCCCAGGUCAGCGGGACUA